UGGCGGACGGGUGAGUAACGCGUGAGAAUCUGGCUCCAGGUCGGGGAUAACAGUUGGAAACGACUGCUAAUACCGGAUGUGCCGAGAGGUGAAAGAUUUAUUGCCUGGAGAUGGGCUCGCGUCUGAUUAGCUAGUUGGUGGUGUAAGGGACCACCAAGGCGUCGAUCAGUAGCUGGUCUGAGAGGAUGAUCAGCCACACUGGGACUGAGACACGGCCCAGACUCCUACGGGAGGCAGCAGUGGGGAAUUUUCCGCAAUGGGCGAAAGCCUGACGGAGCAAUACCGCGUGAGGGAGGAAGGCUCUUGGGUCGUAAACCUCUUUUCUCAAGGAAGAAGAAAGUGACGGUACUUGAGGAAUAAGCAUCGGCUAACUCCGUGCCAGCAGCCGCGGUAAUACGGAGGAUGCAAGCGUUAUCCGGAAUGAUUGGGCGUAAAGGGUCUGCAGGUGGAACUGAAAGUCUGCUGUUAAAGAGUUUGGCUUAACCAAAUAAAAGCGGUGGAAACUACAGAACUAGAGUGCGGUAGGGGCAAAAGGAAUUCCUGGUGUAGCGGUGAAAUGCGUAGAUAUCAGGAAGAACACCGGUGGCGAAAGCGUUUUGCUAGACCGUAACUGACACUGAGGGACGAAAGCUAGGGGAGCGAAUGGGAUUAGAUACCCCAGUAGUCCUAGCCGUAAACGAUGGAUACUAGGCGUGGCUUGUAUCGACCCGAGCCGUGCCGGAGCUAACGCGUUAAGUAUCCCGCCUGGGGAGUACGCACGCAAGUGUGAAACUCAAAGGAAUUGACGGGGGCCCGCACAAGCGGUGGAGUAUGUGGUUUAAUUCGAUGCAACGCGAAGAACCUUACCAAGACUUGACAUCCUGCGAAUCCUGGUGAAAGCUGGGAGUGCCUUAGGGAGCGCAGAGACAGGUGGUGCAUGGCUGUCGUCAGCUCGUGUCGUGAGAUGUUGGGUUAAGUCCCGCAACGAGCGCAACCCUCGUUUUUAGUUGCCAGCAUUAAGUUGGGCACUCUAGAGAGACUGCCGGUGACAAACCGGAGGAAGGUGAGGAUGACGUCAAGUCAGCAUGCCCCUUACGUCUUGGGCUACACACGUACUACAAUGCUACGGACAGAGGGCAGCAAGCCAGGGAUGGCAAGCGAAUCCAGAAACCGUAGCUCAGUUCAGAUCGAAGGCUGCAACUCGCCUUCGUGAAGGAGGAAUCGCUAGUAAUUGCAGGUCAGCAUACUGCAGUGAAUUCGUUCCCGGGCCUUGUACACACCGCCCGUCACACCAUGGAAGUUGGUCACGCCCGAAGUCAUUACCCCAACCGAAAGGAGGGGGAUGCCUAAGGUAGGACUGGUGACUGGGGUGAAGUCGU
rnacentral:rRNA from 1 species